AUUGAACGCUGGCGGCAUGCCUUACACAUGCAAGUCGAACGGCAGCACGGGAGCAAUCCUGGUGGCGAGUGGCGAACGGGUGAGUAAUAUAUCGGAACGUGCCCAGUAGUGGGGGAUAACUGCUCGAAAGAGCAGCUAAUACCGCAUACGACCUGAGGGUGAAAGCGGGGGAUCGCAAGACCUCGCGCUAUUGGAGCGGCCGAUAUCAGAUUAGCUAGUUGGUGAGGUAAAGGCUCACCAAGGCGACGAUAUGUAGCUGGUCUGAGAGGACGACCAGCCACACUGGGACUGAGACACGGCCCAGACUCCUACGGGAGGCAGCAGUGGGGAAUUUUGGACAAUGGGCGCAAGCCUGAUCCAGCCAUGCCGCGUGCGGGAAGAAGGCCUUCGGGUUGUAAACCGCUUUUGUCAGGGAAGAAACGGCUCCUACUAAUACUGGGGGCUAAUGACGGUACCUGAAGAAUAAGCACCGGCUAACUACGUGCCAGCCGCCGCCGUAA
rnacentral:rRNA from 1 species